CUGCAGCCCGAGUGGUGACCGCUAUUAUUGGGCCUAAAACGUUCGUAGCCGGCUGAGUAAAUGCUUGGGUAAAUCGUGCCGCUUAACGGUACGAAUUCCGGGUAGACUGCUCAGCUUGAGACCGGGAGAAGCUAGAGGUACUCCUGGGGUAGGGGUGAAAUCCUGUAAUCCUGGGGGGACCACCAGUGGCGAAGGCGUCUAGCUAGAACGGGUCUGACGGUGAGGGACGAAACCCUGGGGCGCAAACCGGAUUAGAUACCCGAGUAGUCC
rnacentral:rRNA from 1 species